rnacentral:rRNA from 1 species
UACGUAGGGUGCAAGCGUUGUCCGGAAUUAUUGGGCGUAAAGAGCUCGUAGGUGGCCUGUCGCGUCGGCUGUGAAAACCCGGGGCUCAACCCCGGGCCUGCAGUCGAUACGGGCAGGCUAGAGUUCGGCAGGGGAGACUGGAAUUCCUGGUGUAGCGGUGAAAUGCGCAGAUAUCAGGAGGAACACCGGUGGCGAAGGCGGGUCUCUGGGCCGACACUGACGCUGAGGAGCGAAAGCGUGGGGAGCAAACAGG